rnacentral:lncRNA from 1 species
GACAAAUGCAUCUCAAAAAUUGUGCCCUGAAGGAACAAUGGCAUUGUGAUGUCACCUGUGGGCAUAAUAGCUGGGUAGGUCUCCCAGGGUUUUCCUCUGGGGUGGAGGAUAUGCAACUAAAUUUUUGUGGGAACAUCUUUGGUGUAUGUUAAAAGAAAGCAUGCCUGGAACUGUGUGGGAAAGGAAGAAGGCUUGUGUGUCUGCUGGGCAGCCAAGGGUCCAAACAUGUGUCUACAGUUCUAUCGUGUCUCCUUUUCUCUACCACAUGCAUGCGCUGGAAGCACGGACACGGGAUAGGAAAAGCCACGUGCACGUGGAUGAAGACUUCUACCGAGCGCGAAGCGAAGCAGCCGAGUCGGUGGGACCAGCCUUGCACCUGAGGACGCCGAGCGCUGAGAAUCGCAUGCACAGCAAGAACAGCGAGGGCUCCACUCCAGGCUUUGAGACCUGGCAGAGAAAGACCAUUAUGGAUUUAGAGCUGAACACCUGCUACAUGCUUGGCUCUUCACUGGAGACUGAGAAGAUACCAGCAAGCAAAACAUGGCUCCCUUUCUCAAAGGGUUCAUGGUCAGCUGGGAAAGAUCAGCAAGGAAAGGGCACUGCUGAUCAUAAUGGUAAACAUCAAUGCUUUUUUUCCC